rnacentral:rRNA from 1 species
UACGUAGGGUGCAAGCGUUAAUCGGAAUUACUGGGCGUAAAGCGUGCGCAGGCGGUUUUGUAAGUCUGACGUGAAAGCCCGGGCUUAACCUGGGAAUUGCGUUGGAGACUGCAAGGCUUGAAUCUGGCAGAGGGGGGUAGAAUUCCACGUGUAGCAGUGAAAUGCGUAGAGAUGUGGAGGAACACCGAUGGCGAAGGCAGCCCCCUGGGUCAAGAUUGACGCUCAUGCACGAAAGCGUGGGGAGCAAACAGG